UUGAUUGACUUGUGGCGUGAGCGGGCCGUUGAUUUAAGACGUGCCAAGCGCAAUUUACAUAUAUAUGCGGAUAUAUGUGUGCAAAUGGCACAUAAAUUUACGCCGAAGGAAGUCCAUAUUAAAAUUAGAAACUUAACACAAAGACACAGAAAAGAAAAGAAGAAAACUGGCCCAUCGAGGGGCAGCCCAUCGUCGUGGAAAUAUUUUGAUGCGGAAAUAUCUGUGCAAAUGGCACAUAAAUUUACGCCAAAGGAAGUACAUAUUUAAAUUAGAAACUUAACACAAAGAUACAGAGAAGAAAAGAAGAAAACCGGCCCAUCGGGGGGCAGCCCACCACCGACGUGGAAAUAUUUUGAUGCGGUGCAUCAAAUCAUCGGACUGACUGCAGCCAAUAAUGCAGAAAUUUAUGAAUCAUUAACUGUGGUAAGCUUAAAUUUCAUCUUUUUAUUAAACAACAAUUAAAACAAUGUUUUCUUUAGGACAUAUCGUCAUCAACAUUGCUGCUGUUACUGCCAUCUGUACCUGCAGCAUCACCAGUACCGGUGUCGGCAGUAAUACCAUCGGCCAUCUCGCCAUUGUUGUCGCCACUGGAUACCUCAUCCACAUCCAUGAGUACUUCUAUAUAGAGGAAUUAUAUGGGUGAAUUGGAGAAAGUGGCAAAACAACAACAUGAAUUGCUGAAGGUAGUGGUGGAAGAUGGAAGAGAUAUAAAAGAAAUGAUUAUUAAUUGUAUUGCAGAACAUUGCAAUAGUUCUACAAAGGAGUUUAUAAGUAUUUUUAAUAGUUUGUUGGAAAAAUGUAAAUAUUAUAUUUAUUUUGUAUAC